rnacentral:rRNA from 1 species
CAGGCUUAACACAUGCAAGUCGAGGGGCAGCAUGGUCUUAGCUUGCUAAGGCCGAUGGCGACCGGCGCACGGGUGAGUAACACGUAUCCAACCUGCCGUCUACUCUUGGACAGCCUUCUGAAAGGAAGAUUAAUACAAGAUGGCAUCAUGAGUCCGCAUGUUCACAUGAUUAAAGGUAUUCCGGUAGACGAUGGGGAUGCGUUCCAUUAGAUAGUAGGCGGGGCAACGGCCCACCUAGUCUUCGAUGGAUAGGGGUUCUGAGAGGAAGGUCCCCCACAUUGGAACUGAGACACGGUCCAAACUCCUACGGGAGGCAGCAGUGAGGAAUAUUGGUCAAUGGGCGAGAGCCUGAACCAGCCAAGUAGCGUGAAGGAUGACUGCCCUAUGGGUUGUAAACUUCUUUUAUAAAGGAAUAAAGUCGGGUAUGGAUACCCGUUUGCAUGUACUUUAUGAAUAAGGAUCGGCUAACUCCGUGCCAGCAGCCGCGGUAAUACGGAGGAUCCGAGCGUUAUCCGGAUUUAUUGGGUUUAAAGGGAGCGUAGAUGGAUGUUUAAGUCAGUUGUGAAAGUUUGCGGCUCAACCGUAAAAUUGCAGUUGAUACUGGAUAUCUUGAGUGCAGUUGAGGCAGGCGGAAUUCGUGGUGUAGCGGUGAAAUGCUUAGAUAUCACGAAGAACUCCGAUUGCGAAGGCAGCCUGCUAAGCUGCAACUGACAUUGAGGCUCGAAAGUGUGGGUAUCAAACAGGAUUAGAUACCCUGGUAGUCCACACGGUAAACGAUGAAUACUCGCUGUUUGCGAUAUACUGCAAGCGGCCAAGCGAAAGCGUUAAGUAUUCCACCUGGGGAGUACGCCGGCAACGGUGAGACUCAAAGGAAUUGACGGGGGCCCGCACAAGCGGAGGAACAUGUGGUUUAAUUCGAUGAUACGCGAGGAACCUUACCCGGGCUUAAAUUGCAGAUGAAUUACGGUGAAAGCCGUAAGCCGCAAGGCAUCUGUGAAGGUGCUGCAUGGUUGUCGUCAGCUCGUGCCGUGAGGUGUCGGCUUAAGUGCCAUAACGAGCGCAACCCUUGUUGUCAGUUACUAACAGGUUCCGCUGAGGACUCUGACAAGACUGCCAUCGUAAGAUGUGAGGAAGGUGGGGAUGACGUCAAAUCAGCAUGGCCCUUACGUCCGGGGCUACACACGUGUUACAAUGGGGGGUACAGAGGGCCGCUACCACGCGAGUGGAUGCCAAUCCCCAAAACCUCUCUCAGUUCGGACUGGAGUCUGCAACCCGACUCCACGAAGCUGGAUUCGCUAGUAAUCGCGCAUCAGCCACGGCGCGGUGAAUACGUUCCCGGGCCUUGUACACACCGCCCGUCAAGCCAUGGGAGCCGGGGGUACCUGAAGUGCGUAACCGCGAGGAGCGCCCUAGGGUAAAACUGGUGACUGGGGCUAAGUC